rnacentral:rRNA from 1 species
GCUAACUCCGUGCCAGCAGCCGCGGUAAUACGGAGGAUCCGAGCGUUAUCCGGAAUUAUUGGGUUUAAAGGGUCCGUAGGCGGGAUAAUAAGUCAGCGGUGAAAGUUUGUGGCUCAACCAUGAAAUUGCCGUUGAUACUGUUGUUCUUGAGUUAUUGUGAAGUGGUUAGAAUGUGUAGUGUAGCGGUGAAAUGCAUAGAUAUUACACAGAAUACCGAUUGCGAAGGCAGAUCACUAACAAUACACUGACGCUGAUGGACGAAAGCGUAGGUAGCGAACAGGAUUAGAUACCCUAGUAGUC